UGAAUACGAGAUGCUACGGCGUCGAAGCAGUCUAUGUCAUACUUCCAAGAAAAGCUUGCACUGUCAUAAACAAAUAAUGCCUGUACCAUAACCGACACAGGUGGGUAGGUAGAGUAUACUAAGGGGCGCGAGAUAACUCUCUCUAAGGAACUCGGCAAAAUGACUCCGUAACUUCGGGAGAAGGAGUGCCUUAUUUUAUAAGGUUGCAAUAACAAGAUCCAAGCAACUGUUUACCAAAAACACAGGUCUCCGCUAAGUCGUAAGACGAUGUAUGGGGGCUGACGCCUGCCCAGUGCCAGAAGGUUAAAGAAGUUGGUUAGCAUCCGCGAAGCUGAUAACUGAAGCCCUGGUGAACGGCGGCCGUAACAAUAACGGUCCUAAGGUAGCGAAAUUCCUUGUCGGGUAAGUUCCGACCCGCACGAAAGGCGUAAUGAUUUGGAUACUGUCUCAGAGAGGGGCUCGGUGAAAUAGACUUGUCUGUGAAGAUGCGGACUACCUGCACCAGGACAGAAAGACCCUAUGAAGCUUUACUGUAACUUGAAAUUGAAAUUGGACUUUACUUGCGCAGUAUAGGUGGGAGGCGUUGAGAAUAUUCUUGCGGGAAUGUUGGAGCCAUCAGUGAGAUACCACUCUUGUAAUGUUAGAUUUCUAACUUUGUAUCAUUAUCUGGUUAAAGGACAGUUUCAGGCGGGCAGUUUGACUGGGGCGGUCGCCUCCCAAACGGUAACGGAGGCGCACAAAGGUUUCCUCUGAACGGGUAGAAAUCGUAUCUAGAGUGUAAAGGCAUAAGGAAGCUUGACUGUGAGACCUACAAGUCGAGCAGGGACGAAAGUCGGUCUUAGUGAUCUGACGGUGCUGAGUGGAAAGGCCGUCACUCAACGGAUAAAAGUUACUCUAAGGAUAACAGGCUGAUCUCCCCCAAGAGUUCACAUCGACGGGGAGGUUUGGCACCUCGAUGUCGGCUCAUCGCAUCCUGGGGCGGUAGUACGUCCCAAGGGUUGGGCUGUUCGCCCAUGAAAGCGGUACGCGAGCUGGGUUCAGAACGUCGUGAGACAGUUCGGUCCAUAUCCGGUGUAGGCGUUAGAAUAUUGAGAGGAGCCUUCUUUAGUACGAGAGGACCGAGAAGGACAUACCUCUGGUGUACCAGUUAUCGUGCCAACGGUAAGCGCUGGGUAGCUAUGUAUGGAGUGGAUAACCGCUGAAAGCAUCUAAGUGGGAAGCCCACCCCAAGAUAAGUAUUCUCAU
rnacentral:rRNA from 1 species